GAUGAACGCUGGCGGCGUGCCUAAUACAUGCAAGUCGAGCGAACAGACGAGGAGCUUGCUCCUCUGACGUUAGCGGCGGACGGGUGAGUAACACGUGGAUAACCUACCUAUAAGACUGGGAUAACUUCGGGAAACCGGAGCUAUUACCGGAUAAUAUAUUGAACCGCAUGGUUCAAUAGUGAAAGACGGUUUUGCUGUCACUUAUAGAUGGAUCCGCGCCGCAUUAGCUAGUUGGUAAGGUAACGGCUUACCAAGGCAACGAUGCGUAGCCGACCUGAGAGGGUGAUCGGCCACACUGGAACUGAGACACGGUCCAGACUCCUACGGGAGGCAGCAGUAGGGAAUCUUCCGCAAUGGGCGAAAGCCCGACGGAGCAACGCCGCGUGAGUGAUGAAGGUCUUCGGAUCGUAAAACUCUGUUAUUAGGGAAGAACAAAUGUGUAAGUAACUAUGCACGUCUUGACGGUACCUAAUCAGAAAGCCACGGCUAACUACGUG
rnacentral:rRNA from 1 species